GCAGACACAUUCCAGCCAAUCAGCAGCAGACCCUCCCUCCCAGACCCUCCCUCCUCCUGGACAGCAUCCAUUUUGAAGCUGCAUUCUUAGUGAGCUGUCCAGGAGGUGGGAGGGUCUGGGAGGGAGGGUCUGCUGCUGAUUGGCUGGAAUGUGUCUG